AUGAACACUUCUAGGAAAAACACAAAAACUGGAAAGUUGGAGAAGCAACAAUUUGUUUGCAACAAGUUCCUAAAACCAAAAGUUGAUGAUGGAGGUGCGGAAACUGUCCCUGCCCUAGAUGUGAUUGAGGACACUAAUGGAGAUGCAGAAGAUGGUGCGAACAAUGAGAUUGUCUUCCUUGAUGAUGAGUGCAGGAAAAAGAAGAAGUCCAAGAAAAGAAAGCAAGAUACAAUAGUGCAGACAGGGUGCAGAGCAAGGAUGGUUGUGAAGCUAAAGGAUGGUCAGUGGGAGGUGGUUUUCUUUAUUGCUGAACACAAUCAUGCAUUGGUUGAUAAGCCAUCACUAACUAAGUACCUUCGAUCACACCAAGGGAUCCCUCCAGAAGAGAAACUGUUCCUGGAAAAUCUUCAUAAUUGUAAUUUGACCACUGAUGUGUGCACUUUUCAAAAAUACAUUUUGCAUUACUACAUUAGCAUUCCAAAAAAUCUGCAUUUACAUUUCAUGCAAAAGAAACACUCUGCAUUUACAGCUGCAGCAACUAGUUGCAACCCAAAAAAACCUUGGGAAGAAUAG
rnacentral:rRNA from 1 species